CCUACGGGAGGCAGCAGUGGGGAAUCUUGUGCAAUGGACGAAAGUCUGACACAGCCACGCCGCGUGCGGGAAGAAGGCCUUCGGGUUGUAAACCGCUUUCAGCAGGAACGAAAAUGACGGUACCUGCAGAAGAAGAUGCGGCCAACUACGUGCCAGCAGCCGCGGUGAUACGUAGGCAUCAAGCGUUGUCCGGAUUUAUUGGGCGUAAAGAGCUCGUAGGCGGUUCAGCAAGUCGGGUGUGAAAACUCUGGGCUUAACCCAGAGCCUGCACUCGAAACUGCUGUGACUAGAGUUCGGUAGGGGAGCAGGGAAUUCCUAGUGUAGCGGUGAAAUGCGCAGAUAUUAGGAGGAACACCAAUGGCGAAGGCACUGCUCUGGGCCGAUACUGACGCUGAGGAGCGAGAGCGUGGGUAGCAAACAGGAUUAGAUACCCUGGUAGUCCACGCCGUAAACGAUGGGCACUAGGUGUGGGUCUCUAACCAACGAGAUCUGCGCCGUCGCUACGCAUUAAGUGCCCGCCUGGGGAGUACGGUCGCAGACUUAAACUUAAAGGAAUUGACGG
rnacentral:rRNA from 1 species